rnacentral:ncRNA from 1 species
CUGACGGAGCAAUGCCGCGUGGAGGUAAAAGGCCUACGGGUCAUGAACUUCUUUUCCUGGAGAAGAAACAUGACGGUAUCCGGGGAAUAAGCAUCGGCUAACUCUGUGCCAGCAGCCGCGGUAAGACAGAGGAUGCAAG